UGAACUUUGAAUUAGUAGAACAACAUAAUGAUAUAAUAGGGAUAGGACAUACAGCAGCUGUAAAACAGACUAAGGACGAGGGCAAAAAAGUUGCAGUGAAGCCUCUGCCAGUAAGGAGGAACACAAGGCAUGCAGGAGGGAUACAGUGAAACAGGAUUUCGUUGCUGCACUUGUUUGGCACAAUGUGUGAAGCUAAGAUGUCAGAUCAAGAAUGGAUUCCAUAUUUAAUAGAUGAUGGUGUUUUCCCAAUGGAAGGGAUUAGAGCUCAUAUUGGGCGGCGUGAC
rnacentral:lncRNA from 1 species